rnacentral:rRNA from 1 species
GACGAACGCUGGCGGCGUGCUUAACACAUGCAAGUCGAACGGUGAAGGGGUCUGCUUUUGUGGGCCCUGGAUGAGUGGCGAACGGGUGAGUAACACGUGAGUAACCUGCCCCCUUCUUCUGGAUAACCGCAUGAAAGUGUGGCUAAUACGGGAUAUUCUGGGUCUGUCGCAUGAUGGGUCUGGGAAAGAUUGCGCCUUUGGGUGUUUUUGGUGGGGGAUGGGCUCGCGGCCUAUCAGCUUGUUGGUGGGGUGAUGGCCUACCAAGGCGGUGACGGGUAGCCGGCCUGAGAGGGUGGACGGUCACACUGGGACUGAGACACGGCCCAGACUCCUACGGGAGGCAGCAGUGGGGAAUAUUGCACAAUGGGCGCAAGCCUGAUGCAGCGACGCCGCGUGAGGGAUGGAGGCCUUCGGGUUGUAAACCUCUUUCGCCAGUGAGGCAGGCCUGCUCCUUGUGGGUGGGUUGACGGUAGCUGGAUAAGAAGCGCCGGCUAACUACGUG